CGUUAUUCUAUUUUCCUCACAGUUACACGUUUACCACAUCAGAGAGAACAGAAAAAAGAGAGAGAAAGAACGCAGCAGAGAGAGGGGGAGAAGGCCGGUGGAGAUCAAGUGUCGCCGGAAGGACAAAGCCGGUGGAGAUCGGCGUUCACCAAGCAGCAGCGCCUCAUCCGCCUCCCCACCGCCAGACUGGUCUCAUCUAUUCAAGUUUGAGAGAGAGAAAGAAAGAGAGUGAAAGAAAAAAGUUUUAGGAAAGUGGAUUUGAUCCACACGAGCUCAAUCUCAGGCAAUAUCUGAUCACAGAGAACAGCCAAAUUCAGACGAAAUAACACUGGAGUAAGAAGAUAGGCUACAUAUAUGGCAGAGGCUGCGAUAUCCGCUCUUACUGAGAAGCUCAUUUCCUUGUUGAGCGAAGAAGCAACACUGUUACAAGACAUCCAUGAAGAAGUAGCUGACAUCAAAGAUGAACUGGAGAGCAUUCAGUCCUUCCUUAAGGAUGCAGAUGCAAGGGCCGCAGCAGAGGAGGACAUGAGCGAGGGUGUCAAAACUUGGGUGAAACAAGUCAAAGAAGUAGCUUUCCACAUGGAUGUUUUCAUGGACGAGUACUUGCUUGAGAUGGCACAACAUCAUCCCCAUCGGCUUCAGGGAUUCAGUUGGUUCCUCCAUAAAUCUGCUCGCUUAUUUUCAAUGUUAAAACCUCACCAUGAAACAGCCACUAAGAUUCAGAAGAUCAAAGCAUCAGUGCAGAAAAUCAAGGCAAGAAGUGAAAGAUAUGGCUUCCAAUCCACUGGUCAAGGAUCAAGCAGUGGUACUCAGAAUGUUAGGUGGCAAGACCCUCGAAAGGACUCCCUUUAUCUUGAGGAUACUAAUGUUGUUGGAAUUGAAUCUUCUAGAAAUGAAUUGAUAGGCUGGUUGGUAGAAGGACAACCUCAUCGUAUUGUAAUUUCGGUAGUAGGAAUGGGGGGUCUAGGCAAGACCACACUUGCCAAAAAAAUCUAUGAUCAUCAAAUGGUUAGAGGACACUUUGAAUGCUAUGCGUGGAUUUCAGUGUCUCAAUCUUACAACAUACAAGAUCUAUUAAGGAGCAUCAUAAAGCAAUUUCGUGAGGCCAGAAAUGAGCUUCCUAUGCCAGGAAUUGACACAAUGGACGAACAAUCAUUGGUAAGAAAAUUAAGAGAUUACUUACAGCUAAAAACGUAUGUGGUCAUAUUUGAUGAUGUAUGGAAAAUUGACUUUUGGGAGGGUAUAAAACAUGCUUUACUUGAUAAUAAUAAGGGUGGUAGAAUUAUGAUCACAACACGUAAUAGGGAGGUGGCUAGUUUUUGUAAAAAAUCUUCACAUGUUCAUGUUUUCGAAUUGCAACCACUAACUCCUGAUGAGGCAUGGGAGCUAUUCUGCAAAAGGGCGUUCCAAUUUGAAUUUGGAGGACGUUGUCCCCCAAUAUUGGAGAAAUUGUCUAAGGACAUUGUUGAGAAGUGCAAAGGCUUACCACUUGCAAUUGUUGCUAUAGGUGGUCUUUUGUCAACCAAAGACAAAACUGUCUUUGAAUGGCAAAACUUGCAUGAUAGUGUUGGGUUUGAGUUAGGAAGAAAUCCCCAUCUUACAGGUGUUGAUAAAAUCUUGUCCUUUAGUUAUGAAGACUUGCCAUGCCACCUCAAAUCUUGCUUAUUAUACCUUGGUAUGUAUCCAGAAGACUACUCCAUCAGUUGCAUCAAAUUGAUUAGACAAUGGAUAGCUGAAGGAUUUGUGAAGGAAUUGGAGGGUAAAACAUUUGAGGAAGUUGCACAAGAAUACUUGACUGAAUUAAUCCAUAGAAGCUUGGUUCAAGUAUCAUUUGUUGACAUAUCUGGGAAAGUUAGAAAAUGUCGACUUCAUGAUAUCUUACGUGAGAUCAUUCUCCGAAAGAUGAAGGAUUUGAGUUUUUGUCAUGUUCUCUCAAAACAAGAGUCUCGCUUUGAAGGAUUAACUCGACGCAUGUCAAUUAAUGGAGUUUCAUGUGUUGUAUUGCAGGAAUUUGGGAACCCUCAUAUUCAUUCUCUUUUAUUUUUCAAUCUUGAUGAAUUUCCAAAGUCCUUUAUGAGUACUUUUGUUGCUAAUUUCAAGCUUUUGAAAGUUAUGGAUUUUGAAGAUGCUUUGUUGGAUUGCAUUCCUGAUGAUGUUGGAAGUUUAUUUCAUUUGAGGUAUUUAAGUUUAAGAAAUACCAAAGUUAAAAUUCUUCCAAAAUCCAUAGGAAAGUUGCAAAAUCUGGAGACUCUAGAUCUAAAGCAGUCCCUAGUUUCUGAUAUACCAAUUGAGAUCAACAACCUUCAUAAGCUACGACAUUUUAUAGCUUACAAUCUUGAUUUCGAAAAAGACAACAGUUUGACUUUGGGAAAAGGGGUAAAGAUACAAAAGGGAGUUGGGUGUUUAAAGAACUUGCAAAAGUUGUAUCAUGUGGAGUUGAAUCAUGGAGGGGUUGAUCUUACUAAAGAGUUGGGAAAGUUAAGACAAUUGAGGAAGCUAGGCGUGAAAAACCUGUCAAAGGAAACCGUGACGGCUUUGUGUGCCUCUGUUGAAAAUAUGAACCACCUUCGAUCUCUUGAUGUAACCUUAAUUAGCGAAGAUGAGAUAGUUGAUUUAAAAUUCAUUUCAUCCCCGCCUAUGUUUCUUCAAAGCCUACAAAUAAAGGGGCGAUUAGAAAAGUUACCAGAAUGGAUUUCAGAACUUCAACAUCUGGUCAAACUAAAGAUUUUAUGGUCCAGGUUAAAUGAUGACCCAUUGAAAGUCCUUCAAAAUCUACCAAACUUACGGGAGCUCAUGAUCUCACGCCAUGCAUACAGCGGAGAACAUUUGCAUUUUAAGCUAGAAGGGUUUCCAAAACUCAAGUGGCUAUGGAUUAGACACUUAAAUGCAUUGCAUUCGCUAUUGAUAGAUGAAGGAGCAUUGCCUGUUCUUGAAUUUCUUUCAAUUGGGCAUUGUCCGGAACUUAAAGAGGUGCCUUCUGGAAUCCAACAUCUGAAAAACCUCAAAGAACUGGGAUUUUGGGAGAUGCCCAAAGAAUUUGAAGAAAGUUUGGAUCCUGAGCAAGGGCUACAUUAUUGGAUCGUUGAGCAUGUACCAGUCAUUAUUCUCUUCCGCAAGGUUCGUAUGGGAUAUUAUGGCUAUGACAACCACAAUCUCCGUUCCAAGCAUUUGGCGGAGUUAAGAGGGCAAAGGCAAACAUUCAACCAGAAUGAGUUUAGAUGCUAAAAUAUCAAUGCUUCAAUUGAGAUAGGUAAACAAUCAAGUUCUACUCAAUAAUGUUAAUACAAAUUCCCUUGAAGACUCUGCUGCCUCUCUCUUACACAAUUUCUUCCACACUUCACGUUGUCUCUCUCUCACAACUUCUUCACAAUCAAUCGUCUCUCACGCCUGGGUUUUUCUUUCAGAGGGCCAAUGCAAAACUAGUCUAUGCUUGCGAAUGGAAUCCCAAUGCCAUUGAGGCACUCCCAACAAAAUCUACAAGCCAAUUCAGUGAGUGAUUGUUGUAUCGUACUUGAAGGAGAUAACCGGAUUAUAGCACCUAAAGAUGUUGCUGAUCGUGUUUGUCUUGGUCUCAUUCCAACAAGUGAGGGUAGCUGGGUCACUACUGUAAGGGCAUGAAGGGGGACAGCACUUGGAAAGCGGGAGUUGUUGAUAGUGAAUACAUUUUUCAUAAGGGUAUACAAACUUUGGGUCGGAGUGGACUGCUUGCAAAAAAGGUCCAAAUAUGUCAGAAAAAAGGACUAUUGAUGAUGUGGUUAAGAAAGAUGGAGAAUAGGACAGCUGUUAUGGAUGGUGUGCUUAUAAAUGCACUCUUGCAUCAACAUCAUCUAGGUAAUAGAAAUGGUUCAGUCUUUACCACACAUGCCUAUGACAGUAUUGUGAAGGAAUUGCAAGAAAAAUUUGAAAAACCAAUAGACAAGCAAAAGGUGAAAAAUCGCAUUAAAACCAUCAAGUAUAAUUGAUCAGACUGCUAUGAUGUGUUUAAGAAUAGAUUGAGUGGUUUUGCUUGGAGUCCAAUCACCAAAAUGUGGAGUGCUGAACCGGAAGUUUGGGAAAUUCUAAUCCAGGUUUGUUUUGGGAAAUUCUAAUCCAGGUUUGUCACUUAUACUCUAGGAGUUCAUAUUGUUUCAUUGAAUUCUAUGGUUUUCUUUUUCAUGUUGUAUCAGUUUACAAUAGGGUAUAGCACCAUGAACUUAUAUUUAGACAGAUAGAAUUAAUUGGAUUGUUUCGAUGAUUCAAAGGACUCCGAUAUAUGCUUUGAUGAGAUUUUGCAUCUAGUCAUGUCUUACACAUUGCAAUGAUAUGUUGUUUGUAACUGGGUUUUACCAUAAAUGCAAGCUUGUUCAGUAGAAUACUAUGGUGCAUAAAUUUGAGUGUUUUCUUGUCUGUGGGGUUAUAAUUUUUUUUUAAUGGUGAUGUGGGGAUGAAACCAAAUGAGCUCGAAUACUUCUAGGAUUAAAUCAUGCAUAGAUAAAUGCAAGACGUCAGUUUUCUGUGCUCAACUCUAUCUAUCAAAUUGUAAACGUGACCUUGUACCGCUACAUGAAAUAUGGUUCUUUGUAGGCUGGGUGUAGGGGAAAUUUUAUAUUUGUUUCACAUGACAAUGGGAUAAUAAGUUUCAUUUUAUAUUUGUACCUUAUUUUGUUAUCAUUUUUUAACAGGCUAAACCUAGAGCAAAAGAGCUUAAGAACAAACUAAUUCCAAACUACGACAAAUUGGUUGAGCUUUAUGGAAAAGAUAGAGCAACUGGGGAACAAUCUGAAAUUGCAUCGGAGAUGAGGCAAUGGUGGGCUACUUCAACCGGAGAGGGCUCCAUGGAGAACAUUGAAGAUAUUGAUCAUUUAGUUGCUCAAAAUGAAGUUACUUUGGAGAGCUGUGAUAAUGUGGGUGAAGCCUCCUCAAAAGCCAAAAAGAGAAAAACAUCAAAAAAUGAGGACGUGGAACAAAUUAUGGGAGCAAUUUAGGAUGUUGCUUUAGCAAUGGGAGAAGGAAAUUCAGCACAGAGAAGAAAAUUUAAUUUUUGAGAGGAGCUUGACACGUCUUCCCAUUCCUGAGCAAGACGUGUUCUAUCUCUUGGAUGAGAUAAGAAUUGAUUCUAGAUUGCAAAUGAGGGUUUAUCUCAAUCUUAUUAAGAAUCCAGAUAUGUUUUAUUGGCUAUCCAGUGGAGGAGCGCAAGGAGCUAUUAUUCACAAUGAUGUCUGAUCCUUAAUUUUCUCUAAAAGUUAGACAAGUAAAUGUUCCAAGACAAUUUUAGCUUCUAAAAACCUUUUCAAUUGAUCAUUGAACUGUAAACUCUUGGGAUUAAUUUUUCUAAAUAGAUGUGUCAGUUACUAUUUAGACAAGUGGAGCCGUAUGAGGUGUAUUAUAAAAUUCUGUCAUUUGCACCAGUUAUGUGUUAAAAGUUAAUGGUAUUUGAUGAAAUAU